CUUGUCUCAAGGGACUUUGCAGAUAUUGCUGCUGUAACACAUGUGUGUCAGUGUCACAGAGGAUAGAGGUUAUGUCUAUGCUCAGUGUUCUCAUAUAUGUACAUUUGAACUAUUAGUAGCCUGACAUU